rnacentral:lncRNA from 1 species
GGUGGGUGGAGAUCAAGAGCUCCGAUGUGACAUGAGAUCUCUCGUGUCAGCUCCCUCGUAACAGAGAGGAGGCACCUGACUGGUGGAAGCCAGCCUGUAAAUACCAGGAUCGCCAAUAACGUGCUGCCUGCGGCUCAAAGUACAGGCCGUGGUGGGCCGGAGCUGAAACAUUAACCAGGCCUUGGGCUUGCUGAGGACAAGCACAGUGGAUGGGUUGCUUCUUACCGAGUCUCAGCGCUGCCUGGGAGACGCUGGCGGACGCCAAUCACCACAGUGAAAUGCUGCAUGGCAAUACAAACGCAGCUUUUUUCCCCUUUUGGAGAUGAGCACGUGUCAAUUGAACAAAGGGUGAGAAGUGAGGGAGUACACCGCAAUUUGCUAACGUGUGGCUGGCUUCCCAGUUCCCUGCGCAUUCCCACAGCCAGACUGCAGUCGUCAUGAUGCUAUUGCCAGGAAAUAUGUAAACAAAAGGGAACUCUCCCUCUCAGCUGAAGCAUUAGGUUGAUUGUGCAAAAAGCCAC